AUCACGGGAGACACACGGCGGGUGCUAACGUCCGUCGUGAAGAGGGAAACAACCCAGACCGCCAGCUAAGGUCCCAAAGUCAUGGUUAAGUGGGAAACGAUGUGGGAAGGCCCAGACAGCCAGGAUGUUGGCUUAGAAGCAGCCAUCAUUUAAAGAAAGCGUAAUAGCUCACUGGUCGAGUCGGCCUGCGCGGAAGAUGUAACGGGGCUAAACCAUGCACCGAAGCUGCGGCAGCGAACGUAUCACUUAAAGCGAUUCAGCGGGUUACGAUUGACGGAGCGAAGCGACGUCAAAGCGUAUACAAAGUCGAGUCGGUUUAAGGAUACGUUCGUUGGGUAGGGGAGCGUUCUGUAAGCCCGUGAAGGUGGCCUGUGAGGGUUGCUGGAGGUAUCAGAAGUGCGAAUGCUGACAUAAGUAACGAUAAAGCGGGUGAAAAGCCCGCUCGCCGGAAGACCAAGGGUUCCUGUCCAACGUUAAUCGGGGCAGGGUGAGUCGACCCCUAAGGCGAGGCCGAAAGGCGUAGUCGAUGGGAAACGGGUUAAUAUUCCCGUACUUGGUGUUACUGCGAAGGGGGGACGGAGAAGGCUAUGUUGGCCGGGCGACGGUUGUCCCGGUUUAAGCGUGUAGGUGUGUGUUCCAGGUAAAUCCGGUUCACUUUAACACUGAGGCGUGAUGACGAGGCACUACGGUGCUGAAGCAACAAAUGCCCUGCUUCCAGGAAAAGCCUCUAAGCAUCAGGUAACAUCAAAUCGUACCCCAAACCGACACAGGUGGUCAGGUAGAGAAUACCAAGGCGCUUGAGAGAACUCGGGUGAAGGAACUAGGCAAAAUGGUGCCGUAACUUCGGGAGAAGGCACGCUGACACGUAGGUGAAGUGAUUUACUCACGGAGCUGAAGUCAGUCGAAGAUACCAGCUGGCUGCAACUGUUUAUUAAAAACACAGCACUGUGCAAACACGAAAGUGGACGUAUACGGUGUGACGCCUGCCCGGUGCCGGAAGGUUAAUUGAUGGGGUCAGCGCAAGCGAAGCUCCUGAUCGAAGCCCCGGUAAACGGCGGCCGUAACUAUAACGGUCCUAAGGUAGCGAAAUUCCUUGUCGGGUAAGUUCCGACCUGCACGAAUGGCGUAAUGAUGGCC
rnacentral:rRNA from 1 species